rnacentral:rRNA from 1 species
GACGAACGCUGGCGGCGUGCUUAACACAUGCAAGUCGAACGGAAAGGCCCUGCUUUUGUGGGGUGCUCGAGUUGCGAACGGGUGAGUAACACGUGAGUAACCUGCCCCUGACUUUGGGGGAACUUCAUGAAACUGGGGCUAUUACCGGAUAGGAUCUCCUGCUGCAGGGUGGGGGUGGGAAAGUUUCGGCGGUUGGGGUUGGACUCGCGGCUUAUCAGCUUGUUGGGGGGGUAGUGGAUGAGCAAGGCUUGGACGGGUAGCCGUGCUGAGAGGGUGACCGGCCCCGUUAGGCCUGAGCUGCGGCACAGACUCGUACGGGACGCAACAGUGCGGAAUAUUGCACAAUGCGCGGAGGCCUGGUGUAGCACCGCCGCGUGCGGGAUGUCAUCAUUGGCGUUGUAUACCAAUUUCGCCUGUCACGAAGCGUGAGUGACGGUAAUGGGUGAAGAAGCACCGGCUAACUACGUG